AUGUACGCUCUGUCAGUGCAACCAACUAAGGGCAGGGUUAUUCUGAUGCUACAGCGGGAUGUACACGGCCCGAUGACACAAUGCUCUGCUAUUGCAAGGCAAGGUCAGGUUCCUCCGGCGGCCGCUGCUUCACGGGUCUCACACAGGGACGGCUGCUGCCAGCUUGGAUGCAGGGCUGGAUCUACUAAUGCAAAUCCAAAGGGCAACCUACCCCGCUCCAGCUUCAGUGGGGGCCACCCUACCCGGUGGCUAGGACCGAGGCAGCGCAAGGCAGCAGAGAACAGCGCACAAUGCAAACCCGACAGCAGCGGGGCUCCGGCUCCGCCGGUACGGCAAAGCCAGGGGCCGGGUCCCACUUGCGCAGCCCCCCGGCUGCUGCCCGCCUGGAGCUCACGGGGGCACCGGCUCCCUCAGGCCUGGGCGGCUCGGGCGCACACCCCGUUCUCCGCCUCACCCCUGCCCGGCCCCGGCGCCAGCCGUCCGGCUGCAGCAGCGAUGGCACCGGUAGGGCCGCGCACAGAUGAUUUCCAGCUAGCUGACUGAUGUUGCUUUUAGAAACUGACCAAAUUUAUCAACCAACCUUAAGGAAUAUGACAGCUGACAUAACCCCCACCAACACAAGUGUGGCUGGAAAAUUAAUCAGAGAACCACAAGGGACGAAGAAAACCAGUCAAUAAUUCAAACUGAAAAACAUCAUAGAAUGCCUUUUGGCCAACACUCAGUGUUUAGGGACAUGCCUUCCAAGUCUACCAGCAAGCCUUCCCUUCCUCAUACAUUUUUGUCAGUUAGACGGAAAUAUCUAAGCACUAGAUUUCUUAGCUUAUUUUGCAAAGAUCAGUUUAAGUACAUUAUGUCAAACAGCUUAACCUAAUGGUAACCAGAAACUCCUGUUUGUAUAUAUCUGAUUCACACAUCCAGGCAUCAGAAGCAGGAAAGUUAAGGUUUACUGCUGGGUAUGAAGGAACUGAACUGUAACACUCAUAAGCACUUUAAAUGCAAGUAUAUCAAAGCACCUAUACAAGGUUUGGUAUUAUAUUCAUGGGGAAACUGAGAAACACUGGAUUGCUGUGUGACCUUGAGAAAAUCUUUUAGGCCUAAAUUUUCAAGAGCCUCCAUUAAUUUUGAGUACCUCAACUGGUGACACUUAGUGAGUUCAAUAAAGUUACAUUGCUGUGUACGUGGAGAAAUGCA
rnacentral:lncRNA from 1 species